rnacentral:lncRNA from 1 species
CUCGACUCUAUAUAUUUAGUAUUACAAUACUUCCUUGCAUGGAGCCAAAGUAAGAAGAAGAAUAUAAGGAGAGUGAGAGAGUUAGUAGUUGCUCGCUUCUACAGACCUUACCUUGGGAUUUGAAGAACUCGUAGUCCUACUGAUGACGGUUUAUGCGCCUACACUUGGUUAUUUAUGAAUCCAGUCGAGUCUCCAGAGAGGAACAACCCAUUUCUUCUUAUUUAACUUAUUAUAAUAAAACAACUACUCACUAGUGUAUGUAUUUCUUAAAAGGACACGUUCAUCCAUUCAGUUACAGGUGAAUGGUUCAAAUAGUGUGUAUGAUGUUUAUGAGUACGUAAAGAGAGCAAAAAACAUGCCGGGCGUCCAUUGAAAGGACCACUUUUGAAGAAAAUAUAAAUAGUUUUUCUUCCAAGUAUCAUGUCAAAGAAUAUGUUUUUUUUGCUUGGUCCAUCUUAUCUCCUGUUUGUUAAACAAUUACAUAUUAGAUAGUAUGUGAGCAAUAAAGGGAAACGCACCCAGUCAGUAUACUUUGACGAAUAGUUCUUGUCCUUUUCUAUCAAUAAAUUAUUUGAAAUGGGCUAUCCAUGGGUCAAUAUAAGUCUCUUAAAUCAAA